UGUACAAAGAGACAUCAAGAAUAGAGCUGAAUAUUGUUAUUGAUAUUACAAUUGUUAGAGAUGACUAAGCUUCCUUUCAUCGAAAUAAUUUUCACCCUUGUCGUUGUUGUAUUAGUUUUUUCAGGGGCAAGCGAAACAAAUCAAGUGAAAAGAUGUGAAAAGGUGAUACAACCAGGAAGCUGCAAUCUCAGUCAAUGUCAACAGACUUGCUACAACAUGUAUAAAAAUUAUGAAGGCUUGGGAAAUUGUAUCGGCAAUAAAGGAACUUUUGAAUGUGUUUGCAUCUAUGAUUGCUUUGAGAAGGAGUUUGGAGCUAAAGGUUUGAUGUAAUAUUGGAUAUGUAAUUUUGUUUUAGAGGGUAGAGAAGGAAGUCUAUCAGAAGUUAUUAAUAAAUUUAUGCUUGAAUUGACCAGUCUCA